UACGGAGGCGGCAAGCGUUAUCCGGAUUCAUUGGGCGUAAAGGGCGUGUAGGUGUCCCCAUAAGUCGGAUGUGAAAUCCUUCUGCUCAACAGGAGAAUGGCAUGCGAAACUGUGGGGAUUGAGUACAGGAGAGGAGAGUGGAAUUCCUGGUGUAGCGGUGAAAUGCGUAGAUAUCAGGAGGAACACCGGUGGCGAAGGCGACUCUCUGGCCUGAUACUGACACUGAGGCGCGAAAGCUAGGGGAG
rnacentral:rRNA from 1 species